UGGGGAAUAUUGCACAAUGGGCGAAAGCCUGAUGCAGCGACGCCGCGUGAGGGAUGACGGCCUUCGGGUUGUAAACCUCUUUCAGCAGGGACGAAGCGCAAGUGACGGUACCUGCAGCAGAAGCACCGGCUAACUACGUGCCAGCAGCCGCGGUAAUACGUAGGGUGCAAGCGUUGUCCGGAAUUACUGGGCGUAAAGAGUUCGUAGGCGGUUUGUCGCGUCGUUUGUGAAAACCAGCAGCUCAACUGCUGGCUUGCAGGCGAUACGGGCAGACUUGAGUACUGCAGGGGAGACUGGAAUUCCUGGUGUAGCGGUGAAAUGCGCAGAUAUCAGGAGGAACACCGGUGGCGAAGGCGGGUCUCUGGGCAGUAACUGACGCUGAGGAACGAAAGCGUGGGUAGCGAACAGG
rnacentral:rRNA from 1 species